AACGAACGCUGGCGGCAGGCUUAACACAUGCAAGUCGAACGCAUCCUUCGGGGUGAGUGGCAGACGGGUGAGUAACGCGUGGGAACGUGCCCUUCAGUUCGGGAUAACCCAGGGAAACUUGGGCUAAUACCGGAUACGUGCGAGAGCAGAAAGAUUUAUCGCUGAAGGAUCGGCUCGCGGCUGAUUAGCUAGUUGGUAGGGUAAAGGCCUACCAAGGCGACGAUCAGUAGCUGGUCUGAGAGGACGAUCAGCCACACUGGAACUGAGACACGGUCCAGACUCCUACGGGAGGCAGCAGUGAGGAAUUUUCUGCAAUGGGCGAAAGCCUGACAGAGCAAUACCGCGUGAGGGACGAAGACUUACUGAGUUGUAAACCUCGGUGCCUUAAGGAAGAAGAUCUGACGGUACUUAAGGUGGAAAGCAUCGGCUAACUCCGUGCCAGCAGCCGCCGUAA
rnacentral:rRNA from 1 species